UGGGGAAUAUUGCACAAUGGGCGCAAGCCUGAUGCAGCAACGCCGCGUGAACGAUGAAGGUCUUCGGAUCGUAAAGUUCUGUUGCAGGGGAAGAUAAUGACGGUACCCUGUGAGGAAGCCCCGGCUAACUACGUGCCAGCAGCCGCGGUAAUACGUAGGGGGCUAGCGUUAUCCGGAUUUACUGGGCGUAAAGGGUGCGUAGGUGGUCCUUCAAGUCGGUGGUUAAAGGCUACGGCUCAACCGUAGUAAGCCGCCGAAACUGGAGGACUUGAGUGCAGUAGAGGAAAGUGGAAUUCCCAGUGUAGCGGUGAAAUGCGUAGAUAUUGGGAGGAACACCAGUAGCGAAGGCGGCUUUCUGGACUGCAACUGACACUGAGGCACGAAAGCGUGGGUAGCAAACAGG
rnacentral:rRNA from 1 species